CAGGGGAACCAAGAUGAUGUCAUGGACUCAGAUCCUUAUGUCCUUGUUGCUCUGGGUCUCAGGUGCCUGUGGGGACAUCGUGAUGACCCAGUCUCCAGACUCCUUGGCAGUGUCUCUAGGACAGAGAGUCGAGAUGAAGUGCAAGGCCAGUCAGAGUGUUAGCAACUACUUAGACUGGUACCAGCAAAAACCAGUAAAGGCUCCUAAGCUGCUCAUCUAUGCAGCAUCCAGCAGAGCAUCUGGGGUCCCCGACCGAUUCAGUGGCAGUGGAUCUGGGACAGAUUUCACUCUCACCAUCAGCAGCCUCCAGGCUGAAGAUGUGGCAGUUUACUCCUGUCAGCAGCGUUAUAGUUCUCCUCCCACAGUGCUUCAGCUUCGAACAGAAGCCUCCUACUCCUACUGACUGCCAUGAGUCAGUGAGUCUUUUCUGCACCAGCUGCUUUGUCCCCACACAGACCUGAACAUGUACAUUCCUCCAUCUACCUGAGAGGUCAUAUCGCCUGACUUAUUCCUUGGAUACAUUGUAGGGCCCAGGGGAAAAUUAAGGGAAUUGGCUUUUUUGAAUCUCUUUUAGUGGGAGGCAAUAUAAGAAAAAUGCUAUAAAGAUCUGUUAAAGGUCAGGGGUUUUUGUGUCACAGGAACUUGCAUGUUUUCCAUGGACUGAUCCCAUGAUUAAUCAAUAAGGUUUCUCUCUAUCCUCUGCAGAAGGAUCCAUUGAAUUUUACAUCCUGAUGGAUUCAUUCUCUCUUCCCUGUGCCUCCUUGAUCUUGGAACAUUUCUAUUUUAAUUUCUGAUUCUCUUGGUCUCCUUUCUUUAUCUGCAAUCACCCUUCUAACUCUGGACUAUCACAAUAUUAAACCCUUGAUGUGUCCUAUUCAAAACCUUCCUCAAAGAAGGUAGUAUCCUUCUCUUGCUUUUUCCUUACCUGGACCUAUUUUCCAGCCAAACUUUUCUGCUCAAUGUCAUUGAAGUUGCUUUCCUACUCUAUCUCCUUUUGUAACACCCUUUUAUCAUCUCUCCAUUUCCUCCACUGUACUCAUUCUUAGAAAGACAAUUCUCUAAUUCUUUAAUCCUGUCACUCUAGAAAUAUAUGAUAGUGUUCUCUAUUACCUUUUCUCAUCAAUUGUCAACUUUCUCUUUAAACCCAUCCCUUGGGCACCCGAGUCUAAUUUUGUGACUGAGGGAUAUCAUGGCUUUAAGUGUGCUACAACUUGAAUCCCUUGGAUAGCAUUUAAAUAACAUGCCCAUUUCAGUGUAAAAUUGGAAAAAACUCCAGUCACUUUAGUAUUACUUCUAAAUUUAGCAUCAGGAAAGAUCCCAGCAAACUUCAUCAGUGUCGUCUGAACACUCUUGCCUGCAUAACAGCUCCUCAUAAUAAUUAAAAAUAUAUUUAAAGUAUUGCUCUUGAGGCAUUCAUGGCAUUUAUUCAUUCAAGAUAUGUUUUUUUGAGUGCUUUCUAUGUGUCAGGAGCA